GCUGGCGGCACGCCUAACACAUGCAAGUCGAACGAAGUAGCAAUACUUAGUGGCGAACGGGUGAGUAUAAUGUGGGUAUCUGCCUUUUGGUUUGGAAUAACACGGGGAAACCUGUGCUAAUACCGGAUAAGCCUUUACAGGGAAAGUUUUAACGCCAAAAGAUGAGCCCGCACUUGAUUAGCUAGUUGGUAAGGUAAUGGCUUACCAAGGCAACGAUCAAUAGCUGAUCUGAGAGGAUGAUCAGCCACAUUGGGACUGAGAUACGGCCCAAACUCCUACGGGAGGCAGCAGUGGGGAAUCUUGCACAAUGGGGGAAACCCUGAUGCAGCGAUGCCGCGUGAGUGAAGAAGGCCCUUGGGUUGUAAAGCUCUUUCGUCGGGGAAGAAAAUGACUGUACCCGAAUAAGAAGGUCCGGCUAACUUCGUGCCAGCAGCCGCGGUAAUACGAAGGGACCUAGCGUAGUUCGGAAUUACUGGGCUUAAAGAGCUCGUAGGUGGUUAGAAAAGUUGGUGGUGAAAUCCCAAGGCUUAACCUUGGAACUGCCGCCAAAACUUUUUGACUAGAGUAUGAUAGAGGAAAGUGGAAUUUCUAGUGUAGAGGUGAAAUUCGUAGAUAUUAGAAAGAACACCGAUUGCGAAGGCAACUUUCUGGAUCAUUACUGACACUGAGGAGCGAAAGCAUGGGUAGCGAAGAGGAUUAGAUACCCUCGUAGUCCAUGCCGUAAACGAUGUGUGCUAGACGUUGGAAAUUUAGUUUUCAGUGUCGCAGCAAAAGCGUUAAGCACACCGCCUGGGGAGUAC
rnacentral:rRNA from 1 species